ACAGAAAGGUUCCAUGUGAACAGCACUUGCACAUGGGUAAGCCGAUCCUAAGGGAUGGGGUAAAAAAGGAGAGCGCGACCACGCGCGUGUCCCGAAAGGGAAUCGGGUUAAUAUUUCCCGAGCCGGGAUGUGGAGGUUGACGGCGAUGUUAGGAAGUCCGGAGAUGCCGGCGGGGGCCUCGGGAAGAGUUAUCUUUUCUGCUUAACGGCCCGCCAACCCUGGAAACGGUUCAGCCGGAGGUAGGGUCCAGUGGCCGGAAGAGCACCCUCACGUCGCGCGGUGUCCGGUGCGCCUCCGGCGGCCCUUGAAAAUCCGGAGGACCGAGUACCGUCCAGGCCCGGUCGUACUCAUAACCGCAUCAGGUCUCCAAGGUGAACAGCCUCU
rnacentral:ncRNA from 1 species